rnacentral:rRNA from 1 species
GAUGAACGCUGGCGGCGUGCCUAAUACAUGCAAGUCGAGCGAAGCGGGGACGGGUGAGUAACACGUGGAUAACCUCCUAUAAGACUGGGAUAACUUCGGGAAACCGGAGUUAAACCGGAUACUUCUACAUUGAUCCGAGCUGCAUGAGCUAGUUGGUAAGGUAACGGCUUAACAAGGCAACGAUGCAUAACCGACCUGAGAGUGGGAUCGGCCACACUGGAACUGAGAACGGGUCCAGACUCCUACGGGAGGCAGCAGUAGGGAAGUUUCCGCAAUGGGCGAAAGCCUGACGGAGCAACGCCGCGUGAGGGAUGAAGGUCUUCGGAUCGUAAAACUCUUUUAUUAGGGAAGCGGUACCUAAUCAGAAAGCCACGGCUAACUACGUGCCAGCAGCCGCGGUAAUAC